rnacentral:lncRNA from 1 species
AUCCAUUGAGCAAAUAUGAAUUUGUAAUUGGUAUAGCUAUAUAUGAAAACAAAACAUAUCUUGAGGACGCCCUUUGCUUUUGUUUUGUCGUAUUGAACUAAAUAACAUUCACUUUAAGCAGAGGGUGCAAUAAGUACUUGUUUCCAAAUACAAAAGAAGAAGAAAACAAUCCUUAAUAUGUAUAGGGGAAGAUAAUUAGACAAGCAGGUUAGGGCCCGUCAAAGUGUCGAGCCAAGCCAAAAUAUAAGCAUCCACGUAAAUACAUGUGGGAGGUAUAUAUAUAUAUUAAUAGAGACCUAAAAAUUAAGUCUGCAUCCACGUAAAUACCUCCACACAAUUAACAGCUCCUCAAUUUGUUGGAAUGUUCCACGCCUCGCAAAAAGCACGAGCACUGACGAAGAAAAUAGUAAAGUGAAUUAGAUUCUUGAAACUAGCAUGACAAUAAUAAGAGUGAAAUAUAGAUGUCAAGGCAUAAUAACCUUCUUAACUGAUACAUAAGAUAUUGACAUAUAAUUAAAUGUGCAUUUCUUAAGCACAACGAAAACAAUUGCAUCAAUCACAAGCUGCAAAACAUAAGUCGAUAUCAAACCAAAAACUUAUCAAAA